rnacentral:lncRNA from 1 species
AAGGCCCAAAUGUGCAGAUAAGUUUUGUGAUGCAAAAAAGGCUAAAAACACUCAAGAUACUCAAAGAGAAUCAAAAGGUGACUUGGAGCAAAUUUUAAAUGACGUGAACACAAAUAAAGUUGCAAACCUAGAAAGUUUCAGCGGACCAGUAACAAGAUCAAAGACAAAGAAGUUUAAAUAGUUGCUCCAAGUUUUCACUCAAAAACAUGUGGAUGAUGGGCUAGCCAAUUGUGGAAAGCUCAAAUAUGAGCUUUUUGAACAGCCCAAAUUCGUAACUUAAAUU